UACGAAGGGGGCUAGCGUUGUUCGGAAUUACUGGGCGUAAAGAGCACGCAGGCGGUCGUUCAAGUCGCGUGUGAAAGCCCCCGGCUCAACUGGGGAGGGUCACGCGAUACUGAUCGACUCGAAGGCAGGAGAGGGUAGUGGAAUUCCCGGUGUAGUGGUGAAAUGCGUAGAUAUCGGGAGGAACACCAGUGGCGAAGGCGGCGACCUGGACAGAUAUUGACGCUGAGGUGCGAAAGCGUGGGGAGCAAACAGG
rnacentral:rRNA from 1 species